CUGGAUCUUGGAAAUCCAACUCCCAAGGCUGAGCCACUGUUUCUGGCACCACAUUCUGACAUUAUCAGAUUACAGUAAGUUAUUUGCUCAUUUCUCUCUCCCCUCUCAAGCCUGAUGAAUGGACUUUCUGGGGAGCUUCUCAUUUUAUGUCUUGAGUGCCUCCUCAUCACAGGAUAAUGAUGCCAUCUUGUUGACCAUCUGGACUUCCUCCACAGCUCUCUGUCUUCCUUAGCCACUUUGCCCAUCAGCUUCCUUUCCUAUUUUGGGUGGAGGGUUGCACAAGACAAAGGCAAGACACUUUCCCUGACUCCAAGUUCUACGACAUAGCAAGCUGCCCUCUUACUGAAAGCAGUUAGUUCCAAGCUUCUCUGACAUGUGAGCCAAAAGCACUGCAGACUGAUACAAGGCUGGUGUAAUGAAGGCAGAGGGCUGGCCAGACUGGCCAUGUCUACCAGAAUACCAAGCUGAAGGGCAACAGGAAGAGCCAUGAUCAUAACAUUUUAAAGAGAUGACUUAAGAUAUUGCAUAAUAUUUAAAAUAUGCAUAUAUUUAAUAAUUCUUAUAAAAUAUAUAAUAAAUUGCAUAUGUAACAAUGCAUAAAAUGGACUCAAGGGGAAAUAGAAUCAAGAAAAAUAUCAAAUAGAAAGUAACUAAACUCAUGAAUGGAUGAGCAUCCAGAUUGUGAAAAUAAAGAAGAAAAGAGAAGUCUAAGAAUGUUUUAAUAGAGUGGCCACUGCACUUGGCAACAUUGGAUGCAGCACUGAGAAGGACCUGGAUCAAAAGUUCCCAUGAAUUUAGGGUACUACAUUUCAGAGAAGAGUUGGAAAAGAGCGCUUGCAAAAAUGUGGGUGAUAUGGACCUCGACAGGCAGGUAUGGAAUGUGGAUUUAUAGGCUGUUGCUCACCUUAAGACUCCCAGAGUGGAAUGUGAACCCAACUCACACAGCGGUCAGGUUAGUGACACUGGCAAACAGCCCUGACCCCACCCAUGGCACACAGCACUGGGGGUUUUCUCCACGUGGAUCCAUGCCUGGAUGGGACCAGAGACUGUCAUUCACUUCAUCUAGAUCGGCCACCUCCUGAAGCUCUGUUCAAGGCCAUGCAUUUGCUUCCUGUGACUGCUGUAGCACCUUACCACAAACUGGGCGACUUCACCGAAAUGCACUCUGUCAUACUCUGGAAGCCAGAUGUCUGCAGUCAAGAUGUCAGCAGGACCAUGCUCCCCUGAAGGCUCUGGGGAGGACCCUUCCCUGCCUCUCCCAGCCCCUCCACGCUCCCUGUGUCAGCAUCAUCCCCUCUCUGCCUAUCUUCACAUGGCCAUCGCCUCCCGCGUGUCUGAGUCUUCAAGUCUCUCCUUGCAAAGACACCCAUCAUUGGAGGCAGAGCCUGCUGUAAUCCAGUAUGACUUCAUCUUAACUUGGUUACAUCUAUGAAGACCCCGUUUCUAAGUCAAGUCACAUUCACAGGUACUGGGAGUUAGGACUUGAACCUACAUUUUUGGGGAACUCAGUUCAGCCCGUUGCAGGCUACAUGCCCCUGGCCUGGCCUAGGGAGCUGGAACCACUGUUUGCUGUGUGCUAUGUAAAGCCAUCUGCUAGCGUAUCAGAGAUCCAUGCAGCCCUCUCCGCCAACAAAUCAGGAGGGGCUAUGUGGAUGGGACAGAUUUUGUCACUGUUUUUUGUUGUUGUUGUUUAUUUCAUUCCACUCACUGUUUUUAUUUUUUUAGAGGGAGGAAUGGGAGGAGGUGGAGGUCGGGAUGACCUCUCUGGGCUAACCCGGGCUGCCCUCAUGUCCCUCAGUUCCUGGGACCCAAUGUGGAACCCCUGAUAGCUGCGGCUGGAAAUCCAGGCUGGUCGUGGGCCUGAACCCCACCCCUGGGCAGAUCAUAGCCAUGGUCCCUGCAGCCACUCUCUGCCACCUUCACUCUGGGGAUGAAGUGCAGAUUCCAGGAUGGGAGCCGGCCCUCAUCAUGACCACCAUCAUGGACUGUCUAGGCCCUCAGCCCUGGAGCAGUUUCUCCCAAACUCUCAGAUAAUAAAAAUCCACUGUGGGACUCAAACAAACAAACAAGCAAACAAACAGAAUAGGACGUCAUGACUCAUAACCUCCCAGAAGGAGCUGGGUGCUGUUUAUGUUGGCAUUUCUUCUCGUGAUUCUCCUCAUCCAUGACUUUGGAACCACUCUUAAAGGAGCCUUGCACCAUCUGAUAUGGUUUGGAUGUCCCACCCAAAUCUGAUGUUGAAUUGUAAUCCCCAGUGCUGGAGGUGGGGCCUGGUAGGAGGUGUGUGAGUCAUGGGGUUGGAUCUCUUAUGGCUUGGUACUGAGCUCCUGAUAGUGAGUUCUCAAAAGAUCUGAUCAUUUAAAAGCGUGUGGCCUCUCCCCACUCCCUCUUGUUCCUGCCUUCCUGAUGUGAUGCGCAAGCUCUCACUUUGCCUUCUGCCAUGAGUAAAAGGUCCCUGAGGUCUCCCAAGAAGCGAUGCCUGUGCUACGCUUCCAGUGCAGCCUGCAGAACCAUAAGCCAAUUAAACCUCUUUUCUUAUAAAUUACCCAGUCUCAGAUAUUUCUUUGUAGCAAUGCAAGAAUGGCCUAAUACACUAUCCUAAGGCCUGGGCUUCUGUUCAGUGUCACCCAGCCAAACUUUGUUUCUAAGUGAUUGGAGUUUAGUCACAAUAACAGCAACACCCACUCCAAUAGACCAUUCCUGCUGCCCAGGGCCUGUCCUGGUGCCCAACUAUGGCUCUGAUUUUGUGAGUGGGCCUAGGGCUUCUAAUGACUGUUGAGCUCAGAAUUAAAAGUGGAGUCUGGGGUGUGUGUCUGCAUGCAUGUGUAUGUGUGCAUGUGUGUGCAUUCAAGAGUGUGUGUGUGCAUUCACAGGUGUUUCAUUAAUGACCCUGUCUGACACGAGACGGGGGAGAUGAAGACUGAAACAAAAGUAAGACAACCAUAGUCACCCACUGCAGCCUGCUGGGGAAAGGGUGGUUUAUCUCCAGGUUACUUGUCCUGUUAUAAAAUAAAAUCCCACUGGGGGGGGAUUUGGAGACCCCUGAGGCCCUGGUCUGGAAGGAGAAAUGGACUGACAUGGAGAGUUAAACUCCUGUGCCCAAGAGGUUAAUGGCAACAUAGGAACCUCUGGAGCAGAGAA
rnacentral:lncRNA from 10 species